rnacentral:tRNA from 2 species
GGAGGCGUACCGAAGAGGUCAUAACGGAAACGACUCGAAAUCGUUCGGUCGGCUUUGAAACCGGCUCGUGAGUUCGAAUCUCACCGCCUCCGCCA